rnacentral:rRNA from 1 species
AUUGAACGCUGGCGGCAUGCCUUACACAUGCAAGUCGAACGGCAGCACGGGAGCAAUCCUGGUGGCGAGUGGCGAACGGGUGAGUAAUACAUCGGAACGUGUCCUGGAGUGGGGGAUAGCCCGGCGAAAGCCGGAUUAAUACCGCAUACGCUCUAUGGAGGAAAGCGGGGGAGUCUUUCGGGACCUCGCGCUACGAGGGCGGC